GACAGAGGGGCCGAGCGUUAGGCGGAAUCACUGGGCUUAAAGCGUGUGUAGGCGGAUGGCUAAGUCCCUUGUGAAAUCCCACGGCUCAACCGUGGAACUGCUUGGUAUACUGGGUGUCUUGAGCUAUCUAGGGGCAACUGGAACAAACGGUGGAGCGGUGAAAUGCGUAGAUAUCGUUUGGAACGCCAAUGGUGAAAACAGGUUGCUGGGGAUAUGCUGACGCUGAGACACGAAAGCCAGGGGAGCAAACGGG
rnacentral:rRNA from 1 species